UCAAGUUAGAAAGGGCACACGGUGGAUGCCUUGGCAAUUGGAGCCGAAGAAGGACGUAGUAAGCAACGAAAAGUCUCGGUCAGGCGCUUACAGCCGUAGCCGGGAAUAUCCGAAUGGGGCAACCCUCUGGAGGAAGACUCCAGAACUCCCGUAUGAAUCUAUAGUACGGUGAGAGGCAAGCCGCUGAACUGAAACAUCUAAGUAAGCGGAGGAGAAGAAAGCGAAUGCGAUUCCCCAAGUAGUGGCGAGCGAAACGGGAACAGCCUAAACCGGUUCUGUUUAUUCAGGGUCGGGGUCGUGGGGUACAUCACAAUGGGUAGCGAACUGUAGACGAAUCUCUUUGGAACAAUGAACCAUAGAAGGUGAAAGUCCUGUAGUCGAAACGGCAAGCUAUCUAGAUGUAUACCCGAGUAACGCGGAACUCGUGGAAUUCUGCGUGAAUCUGGGGAGACCACUCCCUAAGGCUAAACACUCCAAUUGACCGAUAGUGCACUAGUAUCGUGAGAGAAAGGUGAGAAGCACCCCGAGAGGGGAUAAGCUGUCCCUGAAGCCGUGUGCCUACAAGCAGUCGGAGCCCUACGAUUUAUCAGGGUGACGGCGUGCCUUUUGUAGAAUGACCCUGGGAGUUAUUGUAUGCAGCAAGGUUAAGGCCGGAGGGCCGCAGCCGUAGCGAAAGCGAGUCUGAAAAGGGCGUCAAGUUGCAUGCAGUACACCCGAAACCGAGUGAUCUACCCAUGGACAGGCUGCAGGCGCUGUAAAAGGCGUUGAAGGGCCGAACCAGUGGCGGUUGAAAACGCUUUGGAUGAGCUGUGGGUAGUGGUGAAACGCUAAACGAACUCGGAUAUAGCUGGUUCUCCCCGAAAUAGUUCGAGGAUUAGCCUCACAUGUUUUACAACGGUGGUAAAGCACUGAAAGGGUUAGGGGGCCCACAAGCCUACCGACCCCUAUCAAACUCUGAAUGCCGUUGUUUUAGAGUGUGGGAGUGAGACGGCCGGGGAUAAGCUUGGUCGUCGAGAGGGAAACAGCCCAGACCGUCAGUUAAGGUCCCCAAGUUCUGGCUAAGUGGUUAACGAGGUGAUUUUGCUCAGACAAUCAGGAGGUUGGCUUAGAAGCAGCCACCCUUUAAACAGUGCGUAAUAGCUGACUGAUCGAGUGAGGUCGCGCGGAAAAUUCAACGGGGCUCAAGCCAGGCACCGAAGCUACGGAUUGAUGGAGGUUUUUACCUUCGUCAGUGGUAGGGGAGCGUCGUAUAGUAGGUUGAAGGUCGAGCGGAAGCGCGGCUGGACGAAGUACGAGUGCGAAUCCAGGGAUGAGUAGCGAAAAGCAAAGUGAGAAUCUUUGCCGCCGUAAACCUAAGGUUUCAGGGACAAGGUUCGUCCUUCCCUGUUGAGGCGGGAGCUAAGGCGAGGCCGAAGGGCGUAGUCGAUGCACAGCAGGUUGAUAUUCCUGCCCCGCUAGCGAAUUGUAACUCAUGCGUCGGUUGGUUAGCCUACUCCCACGAGGAGAUGGUCGUCGAUUCAAAGGACGAUCACGAGAGCUUAGCUCGUAGUGGUGAAACCUAUACGGCCCGGAAAAGUGAGUUGCGUUAGUUCGUUAGCGCCCGUACCGCAAACCGACACAGGUAGGUGAGGAGAGUAUCCUCAGGCGCGCGAGAGAACCCACGUUAAGGAACUCGGCAAUCUGUACCCGUAACUUUGGAAGAAGGGUAGCCCCGCACUGGUGAGCGUACUAGCUACGCGAAGCGAGGGGGGGCCGCAGAGAAUCGGCUCAAGCGACUGUUUACCAAAAACAUAGGUCUCUGCGAAGCCGUAAGGCGACGUAUAGGGGCUGAUGCCUGCCCAAUGCCGGAAUGUUAAGAGGAGAGGUUAGUCGCAAGGCGAAGCUUUGAAUUGAAGCACCGGUCAAUGGCGGCCGUAACUAUAACGGUCCUAAGGUAGCGAAAUUCCUUGUCGGGUAAGUUCCGACCUGCACGAAUGGCAUAACGACUUGAGCGCUGUCUCAACGUGGGACUCGGCGAAAUUGUAUUACGAGUGAAGAUGCUCGUUUCUCAUAGCAAGACGGAAAGACCCUGUGGAGCUUUACUGUAGCUUGUCAUUGAGUCGUUGGAACGAAUGCAGAGGAUAGGUAGGAGGCUAUGAAGUAGUCCUUUCGGGGAUUAUGGAGCCAACGGUGGAAUACUACCCUUUCGUUCUGACGGCUCUAACCUACACCCUGAUCGGGUUUAGGAACCGUGGCAGGCGGGCAGUUUGACUGGGGCGGUCGCCUCCUAAAUGGUAACGGAGGCGUGCAAAGGUCCACUCAAGACGGUUGGCAAUCGUCUGUAGAGCGCAAUAGUAAAAGUGGGCUUGACUGCGAGACUUACAAGUCGAGCAGGUACGAAAGUAGGCUAUAGUGAUCCGACGGUAGAAAGUGGGAUCGCCGAAGCUCAACGGAUAAAAGCUACCCCGGGGAUAACAGGCUUAUCUCUCCCAAGAGUUCAUAUCGACGGGGAGGUUUGGCACCUCGAUGUCGGCUCGUCGCAUCCUGGGGCUGUAUUAGGUCCCAAGGGUUGGGCUGUUCGCCCAUUAAAGCGGCACGCGAGCUGGGUUCAGAACGUCGUGAGACAGUUCGGUCCCUAUCUGCUAUGAGCGUAGGAAAAUUGAGGGGAGUUGUCCUUAGUACGAGAGGACCGGGAUGAACAGACCUCUGGUGUACCGGUUGUGCCGACAGGUGCAAACGCCGGGUAGCUACGUCUGGAUCGGAUAAGCGCUGAAAGCAUCUAAGUGCGAAGCCGACCCCAAGAUGAAUUUUCCCAACUAGUAAGACCCCUUGAAGAUAACAAGGUGGAUAGGUCGCGAGUCGAAGAGUGGCAACACUUGCAGCUAAGCGAUACUAAUCGGUCGAGGACUUGAUC
rnacentral:rRNA from 1 species